rnacentral:rRNA from 1 species
AGUGAACGCUGGCGGUAGGCCUAACACAUGCAAGUCGAACGGCAGCACAGUAAGAGCUUGCUCUUACGGGUGGCGAGUGGCGGACGGGUGAGGUAUACAUCGGAAUCUACUUUUUCGUGGGGGAUAACGUAGGGAAACUUACGCUAAUACCGCAUACGAUCUACGGGUGAAAGCAGGGGAUCUUCGGACCUUGCGCGAUUGAAUGAGCCGAUGUCGGAUUAGCUAGUUGGCGGGGUAAAGGCCCACCAAGGCGACGAUCCGUAGCUGGUCUGAGAGGAUGAUCAGCCACACUGGAACUGAGACACGGUCCAGACUACUACGGGAGGCAGCAGUGGGGAAUAUUGGACAAUGGGCGCAAGCCUGAUCCAGCCAUACCGCGUGGGUGAAGAAGGCCUUCGGGUUGUAAAGCCCUUUUGUUGGGAAAGAAAAGCAGCAGGUUAAUACCCCGCUGUUCUGACGGUACCCAAAGAAUAAGCACCGGCUAACUUCGUG